GCUAGGUAUAUCAAUUGGUUAAGAAAUAACCAUAAAACGGAUUCAAAAUCCGGUGCUAGCGAUAGCGUGCCGGUUCAAGUCCGGCCUCCGGUACCA
rnacentral:tRNA from 1 species